rnacentral:lncRNA from 1 species
GGAAUGUUAUUCACCCAAAAUAUAAUUUCAGAUUGGUCCAAAGCUAGUCUAGCUAAGUUGUGACGUGUGAGCUAUUACACUGCUGGCUCUUGGAGUAUAGUGAAUUGAGAUUUGUUGCUGCCUUCUAAUACAAGAUUGCAUAUCAGAUAUAACCUAAAAGAAUUCCAUUCGUGUACUUUUCUUGUUCAAAACAGGUCUGCAAUCUCCUGUGAAUCAGCUUCUAUGAUCGAGGGCCAACAUCCCACCCUUUCUGCAGUUUCAACCCCAAGUCUUGCAGCUUCUGCAACCUCAUAUAUAUACUACCUCCAUCCGAAACUCGGAAGGUUGCAUAGCCGCUGGUAUCACUUUGGCUCUAGAAUCUCUAAUCACAGCAUCCAAAUCAGCUCUAAUCUGCUCAACCACAACUGAUGCAUCCACAUUUAUCUUAAAACAACCUGCUGGCGGGGCGUCGCCCUUAGGUAUUUACAUUAGACUUUUCCUUCAACGAUGUCUGUAAUUGUGGCAGCUGGAUCUUUUUGUAAGAAUGCACUACAGCAUCUGCUUUAGCAGCUAAUAAUCGGGAAUCUUCCUUCUUUUUUUCAUAGAUAAGAAGGUUCCUUGCGUGCCAAAUAGCCCAAUAAAUGGCAACCAUCAGCUCCAUAUCUGACUUGCUUCUUGCAUGCCAAACAGCAUAAUGCUACCCUCCAGAAGCCUGACAUGUUCUUCAAAAGGGGUUAAUCUCCAAAAUUUUCAGAAACUUUGCAACUAAUAAGUGCAUGUAAAAUGGACUCCUUUGUUCUUCUACAUCUCUGACACCGUGGGCUUGGAACGACUUUCUUCUUCCAAAGGUUUUGAGCAGUAGGUAACAGAUUCCUUGCUGCUCUUCACAUGAACAUCUUCAUCUUUUCUGGAAGUUCCAAAGACCAGUUUGCUUUCCAUGGAGACUAUGGUUUGUUUGAGAUGCUGGCUUGGUCAGGAAAUGUAAACUUUAAAGCCACUUGGUA